rnacentral:lncRNA from 1 species
ACCAGCGUCUCGUUCAAUAUCAAAAUUACAGACCUCGAACAAAUCAUUACAACCCCAUUAAAAAUAGUGCGUUUGGAAUCGUUUAGUCGAAGGAUAAACUGCCACGGUGUGCCCACUCAACACAGAUUCGCAUUCAGCCAAGUUGGCGGUGAUGGCUUUCGCCCAAUGAUGGAUUCAGCUUCUGUUCUAACCACGGAACGAUCAAAGACAGCAGUACUGCUACAGUGGGCCAUAAGCCGGCAUUACCGUCUCAAUACCAAUACCAAUGCCAAUACACAGAGUCUACUACGUAUGUCCGAAUUUAGUUAACUGAACUCCGGGACAUCGAUGUGUCAGCCCUAGACGGCCGCUGUAAGUCAGUUACAAGGCGGACUCGGGUAUUGAAAAAAAGUCGCCUUCAACCAGUGGCUGCACUUUGUAAGCUGUUGUAAAUGAUUAGUUAGUUAUUAUGGAAAGACCUGGUCAGUCAUAUGCAGAUCGCCCAGCCAAUAUUAAAAUAUGUGACAGUCUUGACGGUUAGUUGCAGAUGAGUCUUGAUGUUCCUAUAAUUUCGUCGAAUAUACUGAUGACGACCCUCAAUACACCGUUGCCACCAAGUCCAACCAAGCGGCCCAUCUCCAACUCGUUGAUCUGAUACUCUGUUCAUAUUGGAUCCCGACUUGAAUCUGCCUCCUCACAGCGUCAACAUUGAAGUGGCCACCGUUGCUGCGUUGUCGAACUAAUGGCCAAUCGAGCAUUGCAUGAAUUGAAGCUGCCACUCACUAAUGUGCCUAGGUUGGUAUACAAUGUAGUAGAAGUAGGUACCCCGCUGUCUAAGCUCUCGGCGGACACCUAACUUUAGAUCAUUAGACUGCUGGGUCAGAUGGCUGUUGAUCGUUUGAUUAGCCAGGUGAAAAGCAGACACUACGUAUGUGGUAUACCACAAAUGCGGAGAGCAAACCG